GUGGGGAAUAUUGGACAAUGGGCGAAAGCCUGAUCCAGCCAUGCCGCGUGUGUGAAGAAGGUCUUCGGAUUGUAAAGCACUUUAAGUUGGGAGGAAGGGCAGUAAGUUAAUACCUUGCUGUUUUGACGUUACCGACAGAAUAAGCACCGGCUAACUCCGUGCCAGCAGCCGCGGUAAUACGAAGGGUGCAAGCGUUAAUCGGAAUUACUGGGCGUAAAGCGCGCGUAGGUGGUUUUGUAAGUUGGAGGUGAAAUCCCCGGGCUCAACCUGGGAAGUGCCACCAAAACUGCAGGACUAGAGUACGGUAGAGGGUAGUGGAAUGUCCUGUGUAGCGGUGAAAUGCGUAGAUAUAGGGAGGAACACCAGUGGCGAAGGCGACUACCUGGACUGAUACUGACCCUGCGGUGCGAAAGCGUGGGGAGCAAACAGGAUUAGAAACCCCUGUAGUCC
rnacentral:rRNA from 1 species